rnacentral:rRNA from 1 species
UUGAACGCUGGCGGCAGGCCUAACACAUGCAAGUCGAGCGGUAACACAGAGAGCUUGCUCUCGGGUGACGAGCGGCGGACGGGUGAGUAAUGUCUGGGAAACUGCCUGAUGGAGGGGGAUAACUACUGGAAACGGUAGCUAAUACCGCAUAACGUCGCAAGACCAAAGUGGGGGACCUUCGGGCCUCAUGCCAUCAGAUGUGCCCAGAUGGGAUUAGCUAGUAGGUGGGGUAACGGCUCACCUAGGCGACGAUCCCUAGCUGGUCUGAGAGGAUGACCAGCCACACUGGAACUGAGACACGGUCCAGACUCCUACGGGAGGCAGCAGUGGGGAAUAUUGCACAAUGGGCGCAAGCCUGAUGCAGCCAUGCCGCGUGUGUGAAGAAGGCCUUCGGGUUGUAAAGCACUUUCAGCGGGGAGGAAGGCGGUGAGGUUAAUAACCUCAUCGAUUGACGUUACCCGCAGAAGAAGCACCGGCUAACUCCGUGCCAGCAGCCGCGGUAAUACGGAGGGUGCAAGCGUUAAUCGGAAUUACUGGGCGUAAAGCGCACGCAGGCGGUCUGUCAAGUCGGAUGUGAAAUCCCCGGGCUCAACCUGGGAACUGCAUUCGAAACUGGCAGGCUAGAGUCUUGUAGAGGGGGGUAGAAUUCCAGGUGUAGCGGUGAAAUGCGUAGAGAUCUGGAGGAAUACCGGUGGCGAAGGCGGCCCCCUGGACAAAGACUGACGCUCAGGUGCGAAAGCGUGGGGAGCAAACAGGAUUAGAUACCCUGGUAGUCCACGCCGUAAACGAUGUCGAUUUGGAGGUUGUGCCCUUGAGGCGUGGCUUCCGGAGCUAACGCGUUAAAUCGACCGCCUGGGGAGUACGGCCGCAAGGUUAAAACUCAAAUGAAUUGACGGGGGCCCGCACAAGCGGUGGAGCAUGUGGUUUAAUUCGAUGCAACGCGAAGAACCUUACCUGGUCUUGACAUCCACAGAACUUUCCAGAGAUGGAUUGGUGCCUUCGGGAACUGUGAGACAGGUGCUGCAUGGCUGUCGUCAGCUCGUGUUGUGAAAUGUUGGGUUAAGUCCCGCAACGAGCGCAACCCUUAUCCUUUGUUGCCAGCGGUUAGGCCGGGAACUCAAAGGAGACUGCCAGUGAUAAACUGGAGGAAGGUGGGGAUGACGUCAAGUCAUCAUGGCCCUUACGACCAGGGCUACACACGUGCUACAAUGGCUUAUACAAAGAGAAGCGACCUCGCGAGAGCAAGCGGACCUCAUAAAGUAUGUCGUAGUCCGGAUUGGAGUCUGCAACUCGACUCCAUGAAGUCGGAAUCGCUAGUAAUCGUAGAUCAGAAUGCUACGGUGAAUACGUUCCCGGGCCUUGUACACACCGCCCGUCACACCAUGGGAGUGGGUUGCAAAAGAAGUAGGUAGCUUAACCUUCGGGAGGGCGCUUACCACUUUGUGAUUCAUGACUGGGGUG